ensembl:lncRNA
AGGCCAGUGGACAGUUGGUUUUCAGGGAAGAAAUACAAAUGGCCAAUGAAUAUUUGAGGAGGCGGUCCACAUCCUUAGCCUUCUGGGAAAUGCCAAUGGCAGCUUCUCUGAGGUCCCAUCCCACCCAGACUUGCUGCCAUUGAGACGGGAAAUGACAACAAAUGCUGGUGAGGAUAUGGGAAAGGGGAUCUUUAUUCACUGGUGACAGGAAUGCCAGUGGCCGCAGCUGGUAUGAAAGUUGGUGUGGGCAUCCUCAAAAAUGAAAGUGGAACUAUUGUAUGAUUCAGCGACACCACCCCUGAGUAUGUGUCUUUAGGAUGCUUGGUCACUGUAGGAGAGGCCUUGCACAUGCGUGUUUAUUACUGAACCAUUCAUCAUAGCCAAGAUAUGAAAUCCCUUGAGGCCUAUCAGCAGAUGAAGGGAUAAAGAAACUGCUCAUGCGUACAAUGGGGUUUUAUGCAGUCACAGAGAAGCAUGAAAUCACGGCAUUUGUAGGAAGAUGGAUGCAACUAGGACUCAUUAUGUUAAAUGAAGUCACGGCUUGGAGGCGUCUAAGUAAUGAAGAAGCCCUGGCAGUGGAAAGGGAUGUGCACUCCCAUCACCUAAGCAAAUACACUGAGCACCCAAUAGCUGUGCCGGUGGCUGAUUCCAUCCUGUUCUGUUUUCCGAGGACCUCAAACCUACAAAAUACACUUGGCUCAGUUAGGGAAGUCACAGCACAAAGGAACGAAUGCCUCCAAUUUUUAUAGAGUAGACACCUCCAACCGGAACAGAAUAUGGGCCAUGUGUGUGAUUAACCACACUCUGAGGGAUGGAACACCCUUCUCCAGAAGCUCCCGCUUGCUUUCUGAAGCUGUGGGACUGGAGAAGAAGGGAAGGUGGUUUUACAGUGACGAACUUGUCAGUGGGCUUCCAGCCACUCUCCACCAGGACCCCGUGUUCAGCGAUGUGGCCUCCAUCGUGGCUGUCAUCUCCACCCUGUCCUGAGCAGUGACUGUCUUAGCCAAGGAGCAAAAUGUGUCUGCAGCGCCCCAGUUUUAUCAAUCAGUGGCCCUCUAAACUUGGUAGUGUGUGCUUGAGAGCAUUUUAGCUUCUCACUUUCAUCAUAAUGGAAGCAUCCGUGUCACUUUAGGUGUCACAGGAAGGGCAAUGGCAACUUAGAUUGUCCCUCUGUCUUUUGGACACCAUCUUCACUCGAGGCAGCCUCAUGUUUAGUACAUUUCAAUGUCGCUUAAAUCGGUAAACUCUAAGUCAAGAGUCUUUUAAGACCCUCUUAAGGAGUGUUUAGCUGCAUAAGCCAUACUCUGCCUGCAUGACUGAAUCCAAGGAGCCAGAAAAUUCCAUUUAGUGAAGUCCUAAAUAUUACCAUUCGGGUGCUCCUCAGAACUUCCAAAUCCUAUUAGGUUGCUCACUUCGCCCUGACUUUGGAUCAUUUGAGCACCACUUUCACGCUGAAGCAGGCUGCUCAGGGCCCUUUAUAGACGCUGUGGUUGUUCCAUCAGAUUGCGAGACCGGGAGAGGUUCUGGUAACGUGCAGAAUAGGGCUGCCUUGGUUUCGCAUCCGUUGCUGUGAGAAAGUGCCCUGACCGAAGCAAGUUGAGAAAGAAAGGGUUCAUUUUUAGCUUACAGUUCUAUGUUACAGUCAAUCACAGAGGAGAAUAGAAUUUGCAGAGUGGGAGCUGGAGGCAGUCGGUUACAUCACAUCCAGUAAAGAGAGAAAGCACAAAUGCUUACACUCAACCAGAUCCUCCAUUUUAUACAGCCCAGGAGUCCUGUCAGGGGGUGGCUCUGCCUACAGCUAAG